AGUGAACGCUGGCGGUAGGCCUAACACAUGCAAGUCGAACGGCAGCACAGUAAGAGCUUGCUCUUACGGGUUGCGAGUGGCGGACGGGUGAGGCAUACAUCGGAAUCUCCUUUUUCGUGGGGGCUAACGUAGGGAACCUUACGCUAAUACCGCAUACGACCUACGGCUGCAAGCAGGGGAUCUUCAGACCUUGCGCUAUUGAUUGAGCCGAUGUCGGAUUAGCUAGUUGGCGGGGUAAAGGCCCACCAAGGCGACGAUCCGUCGCUGGUCUGAGUGGAUGAUGAGCCACAUGGGAACGGGGACACGGUCCAGACUCCUACGGGAGGCAGCAGUGGGGAAUAUUGGACAAGGGGCGCAAGCCUGAUCCAGACAGACCGCGGGGGUGAAGAAGGCCUUCGGGUUUUAAAGCCCGUUUGUUGGGAAAGAAAAGCAGCAGGUUAAUACCCCGAUGUUCUGACGGUACCCAAAGAAUAAGCACCGGCUAACUUCGUG
rnacentral:rRNA from 1 species